rnacentral:rRNA from 1 species
GAGGAAGGCGGGCGGCGUGCCUAAUACAUGCAAGUCGAGCGAACGGACGAGAAGCUUGCUUCUCUGAUGUUAGCGGCGGACGGGUGAGUAACACGUGGAUAACCUACCUAUAAGACUGGGAUAACUUCGGGAAACCGGAGCUAAUACCGGAUGAUAUUUUGAACCGCAUGGUUCAAAAGUGAAAGACGGUCUUGCUGUCACUUAUAGAUGGAUCCGCGCUGCAUUAGCUAGUUGGUAAGGUAACGGCUUACCAAGGUAACGAUGCAUAGCCGACCUGAGAGGGUGAUCGGCCACACUGGAACUGAGACACGGUCCAGACUCCUACGGGAGGCAGCAGUAGGGAAUCUUCCACAAUGGGCGAAAGCCUGACGGAGCAACGCCGCGUGAGUGAUGAAGGUCUUCGGAUCGUAAAACUCUGUUAUUAGGGAAGAACAUAUGUGUAAGUAACUGUGCACAUCUUGACGGUACCUAAUCAGAAAGCCACGGCUAACUACGUG